UCAACCUCUGACAAUCUCUCAGACCCA
rnacentral:piRNA from 1 species